GUAUUUUGGCUGGUUCGUUUUGUUUUCAAAGGACAGCUGACUGACAACAGGCCAAAUCAGCUUUAAGUUCUCAUCUUUUGUCAACUUGUUAGAUCUACGUUCUACCCCAGAAGGGCCAGCCCCAGCAGCCUGUUGACCAAAGGAAGCUUUCUGGCAUGAAUUAUGAAGACCGUCUUAAAGCUUACAGGAGGAAAAAGGCAAUGGAAAGCAUUUACAACAGGGUAAAAAGCGCUUUCGAUUUCAGCCAGAAGGACCAGGAGAAGAGACCUGUUCUAGAUGAAAGUGAGGAGGAUGAAAGAGGAGAAGUUCCUGACAAAUCAGAAUUGCUAGGAGAGUUGGAUUGUAUUGAUGUUCAGAGUGUAUCUUCCGAUGAUAGCAUCAGUAUUUCUUGGUCGAAAAAGGAUGUGUUGUGGUUCAUACUCAGGCUUUCGCUCUGGGGCUCGCUUUAUUACCUUGCGAUCAAAGUGGAAUUCGGCACUGUGUUUCUUGCUAUAUCGGCCUUGAUUUUCAUAUACUACAAUACAAGGACGGGGCAAAAAAAAAGAGGUGAAGUGAGCGCAUACUCGAUUUUCAACAAAAACUGCCAGCCGAUCGACGGUACGUUGCAGGCGGAACAGCUUCAGAGAGAGAUGCUCGGUGGUUUCUUAUAUCAUAAUUGAUUACUUGACGUUAACAAAGAGGGACAGUAUAUAAGAAUGUUGGACUAAUUUGUUACAGAAUGUUUUGGAGAUCGAUACAAGGAGAUUGACAAAUACAGGGGGGGACUAUUUUCAAAUGUGAUAAUAAAUUAUUUUUGUUAAACUAAUAAAAUUUUAUAUUGUU